GACGAACGCUGGCGGUGUGCCUAACACAUGCAAGUCGAACGGUAAGGCCCUUUCGGGGGUACACGAGUGGCGAACGGGUGAGUAACACGUGAGUAACCUGCCCUCAUCUCUGGGAUAACAGUCGGAAACGGUUGCUAAUACUGGAUAUGAGCUUGCAAGGCAUCUUGUGGGUUGGAAAGAUUUUUUUGGUUGGGGAUGGACUCGCGGCCUAUCAGCUUGUUGGUGAGGUAGCGGCUCACCAAGGCUUCGACGGGUAGCCGGCCUGAGAGGGCGACCGGCCACAUUGGGACUGAGAUACGGCCCAAACUCCUACGGGAGGCAGCAGUGGGGAAUAUUGCACAAUGGACGGAAGUCUGAUGCAGCAACGCCGCGUGCGGGAUGACGGCCUUCGGGUUGUAAACCGCUUUCAAUUGUGACGAAGCUUUUUGUGACGGUAGCAGUAGAAGAAGCACCGGCUAACUACGUG
rnacentral:rRNA from 1 species